GGUUGACAGAGAAUGAGAAAUUGUGGCUCCAGGCAAGCAUCAAAAUUAAUAUAUACAAUUGGGAAUACAUCUUGUUAUGAAGGAGUGUCGUCUGUCUAGUAUGCAGAGAGAAGCUGAGCUGAGCAGUCCGGGCCCUCUUCUGACCGGACCAGUAUCUUGGUUGCUCUGGCAAGAACUUCCAGUACAAAGUUGAUGAGCAGUGGUAAAAGGAUUUCACUGUUUUCUGCUAUCUGGAUUUUCCCAAAGAUCUGCUCAGUCCUAAACUUCAUCUUGGCCUGAAGAAGGGCAAGUUCUCUCUCCAGCUCUUCAUUGCUGACAUUCACUGAUGCAAGAAGAAUAAAGUCUCUUACCUGCCUUCCCAGGACAUCCUAGGAGAAACUGUGACUGCUGGUGUGUUCUCAAAACUCACCAACAUGAUUCUCCUGGUGGUUAUAUGACUCUAGAAAGGGAGUUUAAGUCAAAUGAUAACAAUUCACAGAUACUUUUAUGUAAACAACCAGUAGUGACCACUAUACUAGUUGGUUUGUAUUUACCGAAUUCCAUGUCUGAGGCCAAGAAUUUAUCUCUAAAUCCUCUGGGACAAAAAUCCAGCAUCUCAUCUUUUUUCUGCCAGCUGUAAAAUCAUUGCGGGAAGGUACUGGCUACUUUUUGUUGUUGUUUUCUCCUUUCCUUGAAUCUUUGGCUUGGACAAGCAUGGAAUGAAAAUCAUAUAGAGCAUGGAGCUUAUAGCAAAGGAGAGUGUAAAGGCAAAGAGAAUAAAAAUGCCGGGACAAUUUCUUAAAAAAUGACUUAAAGGAGAUGUCUUCUUUUUGUGUCGUAUAACCUCUCACAUGGUUCUUGAAUGCUGCUAACCAUGGCUAGAAGUGCAAUUUCCAACAAGUAAACUGUAAUCUAGCCAAUGUUGUGGGAGUUGUAUAUGUCAACCAAUGGUCAAAUAUGGCUCUACCUGUCAAGAGUUGCAAAGUAAAUGUAGAAUCUUACCUUCCUGAGGUGUGUAUAAUUUAAGUUUCUUAUUCUGUUCUUUACUGUGGCAUUAUUAAAACUUAAACCCAUGCCAUUUUCCUCCCGAGUCAUUUUCAAUGCAUAAGAACAUGCUUUCAAGCUAUAACUGCAUCAAUACCUGCAAUUGUACUCUCUAUUGAGAAUACAAAUGCUUUUUUCUCCCCCUUCAGAGCUGUCAAAGCUUCUGAUGCUGAAGAGUUGAUCUUGGAAAAUGCAGAUUCAGUCCUGCUACCAGCAGAAAGUGAAGAAAGUCCUUAAUUUCACAAUUGAUGUUGUCCUAAUGAUGCCAGUGUUUUUUAUAAUGGUGCA